GGUAGCCAAAUGCCUUGCCGGGUAAGUUCCGGCGUGCAUGAAUGGAUCAACGAGGUCCCCACUGUCCCGGCCUGGGGCCCGGCGAACCCACCUCUAGGUGCACAGUCCUGGGACCCCCGACGGGGCGAGAAGUCCCUGUGGAGCUUCACUGCAGCCUGUCGUUGCGGAGGGGCGGGGGAUGCAGAGCGUAGGCAGGAGCGAUGAAACGGGGCCUCCGGGUCCCGUGGAUGCGGUCCUGGAACACUGCCCAUUCUCCGCCCCUCCGCUAACCUGGGGGCGACCCCGGGGACAGCGGCAGGCGGGCAGUUCGGCUGGGGCGGCACACCCCUGAAAAGAUAUCGGGGGUGCCCUAAGCUCGGCUCAGGCGGGUCAGGACUCCGCCGUAGAGUGUAAGGGCAAAAGCCGGGCUGACUGCGCCCUUGAACGCGAGGGGCGCAGGCGGGAAACCGGGGCCUAGAGAACGCUCGUGCCCCCACCAGUGGGGGCCGGGCAUGACAGAAAAGUUACCCCAGGAAUAACCGGCUCGUCGCGGGUGAGAGUCCCCAUCGACCCCGCGGUUUGGUACCCAGACGUCGUCUCUUCCCAUCNNNNNNNNNNNNNNNNNNNNGAGGUGGCUUAGAGUCAUAGAGCAAAAAGCCAGCUGUCUAGGCUACAGAACCCACAUAGUUAGGCACAGGUCCAGCUACUGGAAAGCCAAGAUAUACAGCAAGGAGCUCUACACAGCCCUCUCAGAGGCCAAGUCUCGGCUACACGACGUGGUGAGCUCGCUAGAUGCGAGAUUGUUUGCGGCGUAUCUAAGAGGACUCUUCGACGCAGAGGGCACAAUAACGCGCCACUACAGAAAAACUGUGAGAAUCAGGAUAGCACAGAAAGACACGCAACUCUUAUCAAUCAUAGCAAGACGGCUAAGAGAAAUGGGAAUUGAAUGCACCGACCCAUUCCCAAGCGAUAAACACAGCACAUACGUCAUCCAGAUACCACACAGGUCAGUAAAACAGUUCAUGGACUUAAUAGGCACGGAACACCCCUCCAAAAAAGAGAAGUUCACCUCCCUCUUUCCCUAACCCUCAUCUUUAUCCCAGCGGCCUGCGGAGGCCGGGGCCCAGCUCUGACCCUCUUAAGGUAGCCAAAUGCCUUGCCGGGUAAGGGCGGUUGCGUGGGGGAAGGCUUAAAGCCAACCCCCAGCUGCGUCGAUGUGGACAUCGACCAGAUUUCUGCCUAUUUACUUGGGUGGAUAGUUGGCGACGGAGGGCUCUACAAGCUCAGCUACAGCAGAGGCCGGACGGAAUACCGCGUAGUCGUAACGCAGAAAGACUUGUCCACAGCGACGCGGUGUCUAGUGCCGUUGUUUGAGAGCCUCUGUAGCAUGCUCAACGUGACCUCCAAAGUGCGCGUCAUCCCGGGCAGUACUAGGGUGGAGGUCAGAAUCUCCAGCAAGAGACUAUAUGAGCACUUCACCUCGCUCUUAACAAGACUGCCUGAGUUCACCGAGAGUGAGAGGCGGCUGUUCAUAGCCGGCUUCUACAUGGCUGAAGGCGAAAAAAGCGGGAGACGCGUCAGGAUGUGGAAUAAAGACAUACAGCUGCUCAAGCUGAUAGGCAGCUGGCUGAGAGAAUUCGGCAUAGAGAAGUUCAGCAUAUACCUCGACGACAAGCGGCAUGGAGUCUACGUCUUAGAGAUCCCCAGCAGAUACCGGCAUCUGUUCCUCAACAUAUGGGGGUUGGAAACGCCCUGUGAUCUUUACUGACCUCCACGCGCCGCUCCCCGAGAGUUCCGGCGUGCAUGAAUGGAUCAACGAGGUCCCCACUGUCCCGGCCUGGGGCCCGGCGAACCUACCUCCAGGUGCACAGUCCUGGGACCCCCGACGGGGCGAGAAGUCCCUGUGGAGCUUCACUGCAGCCUGUCGUUGCGGAGGGGCGGGGGAUGCAGAGCGUAGGCAGGAGCAAUGAAACGGGGCCUCCGGGUCCCGUGGAUGCGGUCCUGGAACACUGCCCAUUCUCCGCCCCUCCGCUAACCUGGGGGCGACCCCGGGGACAGCGGCAGGCGGGCAGUUCGGCUGGGGCGGCACACCCCUGAAAAGAUAUCGGGGGUGCCCUAAGCUCGGCUCAGGCGGGUCAGGACUCCGCCGUAGAGUGUAAGGGCAAAAGCCGGGCUGACUGGGCCCUUGAACGCGAGGGGCGCAGGCGGGAAACCGGGGCCUAGAGAACGCUCGUGCCCCCACCAGUGGGGGCCGGGCAUGACAGAAAAGUUACCCCAGGAAUAACCGGCUCGUCGCGGGUGAGAGUCCCCAUCGACCCCGCGGUUUGGUACCCAGACGUCGUCUCUUCCCAUCCUGGCGGUGCAGCAGCCGCCAAGGGUGGGGCUGCCCGCCCAUUAAAGGGGAACGUGAGAUGGGUUCAGACCGUCGCGAGACAGGUCGGUCUCUACCUGUCGGGGGCGUUGGCCGCCUGAGGGGAAGGUGCCCUCAGUACGAGAGGAACGGGGCGCCGCGGCCUCUAGUCUACCGGUUGUCCGGCAGGGCACUGCCGGGCAGCCACGCCGUAGGGGAUAACCGCUGAAAGCAUCUAAGCGGGAAGCCCUCCCCGAGACGAGGCGGCCGUUGCCCUGGGGGCGACCCCGGGGCACGAGGGCUCCCGUAGAAGACGGGUUUGAUGGGGGGGCGGUGUAACCCCCGAGGGUUCUCCCGAGGGGGGAGCCGGCCCCUCCCAAUCGCCCGAGCGUGCGGAC
rnacentral:rRNA from 1 species